GUCUAAUGCACACAUGAUGAACAAUAUAGUGGUGAUAGCCACUCCACACUAGAACCGUGGAAGCAAUUGACUUCGUUUGCAUUUGGUCGAUUGUAUGAAACACGGUGAAGUCAUAAACCAGUAAUAAACCAAAACCGCAGUUAGGUUUAUGGGAGAAAUAUGUGGGCAGUGAAACAAAUGGCUUGAAGCUAUGCAGACGUAGACAUAGAUAUGAGAAGAUUUAACGAGCAGCGCAGUCUGGGCGUCAUAAAUGAUUAAGUGAAAUUUAUGGUAAAACUCCCACUAGCUGCGGCCAACGAGAGUAAAUGAUUUGCGAAACAAGAUUAAAGUCAUCUCUGAUUCAAGGACGCACUUUUCAUUAAAUAAUUCAAUAUAAUUUGCGAGAUUAAUUACCAGAAAAUUAGUGAAAACAUAAAAAGCGGAGAGUUGGUUAACAUAAUCACAUGUUACAGGAGAGGAUGCAUUAGACGUCUAAUGGUAAUAUUAUUAUAAAAUACAUGACGGUAUAUUCACCUUAACACACCUGAUGUGAUGAAAAUCUCAGUAGGUGUUGGCAAUUUUGUAAAUUGCUCAAUUGUGUAGUUUUUAGCUCUUUCGGUUCGUCGAAAAAUCAAGAAGCCGUAAUUGCAACAUCCUGUUAUAAUUACACUAAUAGCUAUACUAGACACACUAUUGCCAUUAAAUGAUUGACUGUAAUUUCUUGCAGGUAUUUACGAUAUUUCUCUACAAGAAGACGGCAGAAAAUUACAAAAAAACACAAAUAAGUUUUUUUUUCGUCAGUCAAUAUUUCCAAGUUAGAUAUUUGCAGAAAUGGCCGGGAAAUGAUUGUUAAAUACUAUUAGGGGAAGCGUUAACGCAUUGAAGGUUCCAAACAAAAAUUUAUAGAAAAAAAUUGUUUACAGUUUGAGACAGCAUUAUUAGUGGUAUAAGAAAAAGGUGUAUAAGAAAAAGGUGGUAGGUUAAAACUGUAAACAUUUUAACUUUUCAACACCAGUGAAAUAAAAAUAAAUACAAGUUAAACAAAUGAAAUGAAACUAAAAAGUCAUUUGUAACAAAUUAUUAUUUUGGAAAUUAAGACAUGUUUUAUUUUAACAAUUUUUCAUGUUUAGGUCAUCAAACAAUUUAUAAUACAUUAUAUACACAAUAGUUAUCUAGGUAAGUACUCUGGAAAGGGCGCUUUCGUCGGAAUUACACAUACUUUUAACUGUAUGCUUUAUGAUUCAAACAAACUUGUCCGAUAAAAAAAUUCAUACUAAAAAGCAUAAAAAAUAUUUAAAAAAAAUACAAACUUAUUAGAAAAUUAAAAGAUAUUGGACCGGUUGAUAGAAGCGUCAUUAAUUUAAUCCACGAUUAAAUGCUUAAAUUAAAUGAUCAGGUGAGCACAUUGAAGCAUUUUGAUUGGUCUAUUCGCGUUGUUAACUUUUAACAACGUGUUCAUUUUUAAUAGUGCUUUCUAUAAAUAAAAGUUUAUUUAAAUGUCUUAUUUUAUUGUUCUGUUUUUUGAGGUGGUACCACUGCUUUCAUCCAAGUUUUUCGUAAUUAAAAAAAAGUUCCAAGGAUAAUGGAAAAGCUCCAGUAUAGAAAAUCCUGCAGAUCGUUGUUCAUAAUAUUAUAAGGAACCGAAUUAAUAUGCUGGUAUUCAUAUACAGAGUGCUCAAAAACUGACGCACCAACUCAGUGGUACGUUAUUGAGAAGCAAGUGCAGAUUACGGGAAAAAUGUUGAAAAAAUUCCUAAAGUUAUAUUUUAAAAAAUCUGGAGCUACAAACUUAUUGUGUUAACUUUUUUGGUUUUUAUUAUUUUUUUUAUGUUGUUAUGUUUCAUACCAGGUAAUCGUUUCGUAACAAAACGAUGAAUAAUUAUUUUAAAAUUUACUAGCAGAUUUUAGCAGUGUUUUCAAUUUAAAAAAAUUAAAAUUCAUCCAAAAAAUCACAAUGUGUAGAUGUGCCAACACUGGGAAUUAUUUCCUAGGACACCGUUUCAAAAAUAAUUUAUAUCUAUUGUUGAUCAAAUUCUAUUGCGAUCAUGACUGUUAGACAACGUUGCCACAUAUCAUUUACCUAAAAUUAGUUAUUUAUCAAUAACUUUAAUACAAAGAAUUUUUUUACUAUUUUUACCUUUAUAUGUAACCACUUCUUUACCACACACCAUUGAGUUGGUGCGCCAGUUUUUGAGCACGCUGUACAAAUUUAAAACAUUUUGUAGAUACAUUUUGAGGAAUACAAAAAACAAAGCAAUGUUUACUAUCAUAAGUCAUAAGAAAAGGGGGGACUAAUAAAUUUAUGGUUUUGUAGGUUUAGAUUGUAAAAGUCGCCUAUAUUCAAUGUUGUCUGUCGACCUGAUAUUGUAUAAUAAAUUACCGCUAAAUACAUGAAUUCUCGAUUUCGAACGCUUUAAGAUCGUAAUUAGAGGACAUUUUGAUAUAGUUUAUACUCACGGGAAAGAUUUCUGGGUCAUCAUUUUUAAUUUUGUGUGCAUUUUAUUUGUCUCAUUUGAAUUAUUGAAUUGUUAUAUAUUAUUUUCAUUAUUUUGUAUACUUCUAACUGUGAUAUUAAUGAAACGUGGGUAUAACUGUAUACCAUAUUGUAACCAUACGAAAGGAGAAGUAUAGUUACCUAUGAUUAUUUUCACGUUUUAAAAAAAUUUUUGAAUUUUAUUUAGCCGAAUAAUUUUCUCGAGCAUCUUCUCAGUUUUUCUAGUGCUUUAUUCUGUAAACCUGUGCCAAGGUUUAUUUUUUAUUUAAAACUGUUUUAUUUCUGGAGACUGCGUUCAUAAACACCUGAUAAUUUAUUUAUGUUGAAAAUGCUAUUGCCUUUUCGAGUGUGUUUCAGCUAAAAUAUAAUAAAGGUCAAUAGUUUAGAGAUUAGGAAUGUACUUGUGUUUUGGUAAAAAAUUGUAUAACUUCUGGAUUUCUUCGAGCUUUAAAGAUAAUAAAAAUUCAUUUUUUGCCGGUCAAAGUUAAUUAGAACUUGGUUAUUUAAUGAUAGUGAAUCGUGAGUCCGUUUAGCGUAUUUAUCAUCUAAACCAGAUAUCAAGAUACCACAGAUAUCAAGAGACUUUUUUUUUAAUCUUUUGUUUUCUAGACCCU